rnacentral:rRNA from 1 species
CGAGCACGCGCGUGUGGCAUAUCAAUAAGCGGAGGAAAAGAAACUAACAAGGAUUCCCUUAGUAACGGCGAGUGAAGCGGGAAGAGCUCAAAUUUGAAAUCUUCAAGGUUCUACCUUGACGAAUUGUAGUUUAUAGAAGUGUUUUCUGUUAGUAGAGUGGCAAAAGUUCUUUGGAAUAGGACAUCAUAGAGGGUGAGAAUCCCGUAUUUGGUCAUUCUUUCUAGCUUUGUGAUACACUUUCAACGAGUCGGAUUGUUUGGGAAUGCAGUCCAAAAUGGGUGGUAAAUUUCAUCUAAAGCUAAAUAUUGGCGAGAGACCGAUAGCGAACAAGUACCGUGAGGGAAAGAUGAAAAGAACUUUGAAAAGAGAGUUAAACAGUACGUGAAAUUGUCAAAAGGGAAGCGUUUGACACCAGUGUUGUUUUUCCGAAAAUCAAUUACGAAUGUUUUAUUUUUGAGAAGUUAUGACUUCAUCGGCUUGCUUCUCUCUUUAUGAAACUUUCUUAAUGCACUUUUCGGUUAACAAGUCAACAUCAAUUUCUUUUGUUGUAAAAGGGUAUGAGGAAGGUGGCUUUCUUUUCGGAGAAAGUGUUUAUAGCCUUGUACCUCUGCAAUCGGAGAGAUUGAGGUCUGCAGCGUAGAUCCUUCGGGGUUAGAUACAUUUGUGCUAAGUUAUAGCUUUUCAUAGACAACUUGUUGACUAUGUUUAGUCUUGUAGCUUACUCGCUUAUGCUAUUUUACCUACGCUUAGGAUGUUGAGUAGCGACAUACGCAC